UUUCCCUUUCUGUACGCCUUAGAUAAGACCCCCGUGUAGCUCCCCAAAGCCCUGCUCUUUUGGUUUGAACUGACCCGUCUGGCCUUAGGCCAGGAACUCCCGAGCACUCCAUCCACAGCACUAAUCAGGUUGUGCCUCAGGUCUGCAGGCUGCCUUGCCCUUCCAGUGCAUCCCCUGGAGGUAAGGGAGGUACUUCUUUCUUUCAUUUCCUCCCAUUGUCCGUGGCUGAACCUUGGCUCACCUUCUGGAACCGUGAGUUCCACUUAGACCUGGAGCUGUCAUCAUCAAAGAUGCUGGCAUCUCUACAUCCUAGCCGCUGUGGAUGUGAAGGAGCCUAACUGCAGUGUGCAUCUUGCUCAGUUACGAAACCACCUCCUGUCAUGAAGGUUAGAAAUGCUGCUGAAGUUGAACUGGUGGCCUGGCGUCAUCCCAUCGUGCCUGAUUUCAGUGUGUCUCUCAGUAGUGUCAGCUGCAACUUGGUGUCAG